ensembl:snRNA U6 U6 spliceosomal RNA
UUGCUUGCUUCAGCAACACAUAUACUAUAAUUGGAACAAUACAGAGUAGAUCAUCAUGACCCCUGUGCAAAGAUGACAUGCAAAUUUGUGAAGUAUUUCAUAUUUUU